AGCUUAACCUGCGUGGAAGGGAAUCAGCUUGAGGCGAUGAGAUAAACGUCGGUGAAUACUAUGAAUGAAAGUCACAAAUAUGGAGGAAGAAGUGUCCAAACGCACAUAAUCCUUCCGUGUCAUGUAGGAGGAGGAGGAGGAGGAGGAGGAGUCUGCUACCGAGAAGGUUUCACCAGGCCGGCUGGCGGGGACAGGAGCCCUGUGCACGAUUGCCAUGGCAACAACGAUGGGGAGACAAGAUGGAGGAGUCAAAGCUGGCCUGUGCCUCCUUUACAGGAGAGGAAGCUGUGUACGGAGGCAGAAGGUCGACCACACUGACGUUGUUUUCAGACCUGCGCUGACGUCCAGACAUUUUCCUGAACAUUUCCAGAGGGGCUGAAUGCGAGAACGCAGAUGUUUGCUCCGGACAUUUUCCAGGAAUUUCCCUGCCAGCCCCCCUUGUCAGAUUUCCGGAAAAAAAACCCGGCUAUC